rnacentral:lncRNA from 1 species
UAUAAAUCUUUCACUGCCAGCUGAUAAUGAACAUCGUGUAUUAGAUGGCAUCGUUGGUGGAGAAUUAGACAAUGUGGCACAACAAAUCCCAGAGGAUACUUUUGAGCAAGAAAGGGAUAAUAUAUAUGUGCCAGAGACGACCAUUUCUAGUACGUCAAGAACUUCACCAGUAGCGGGGCCUAAUUUUGGAUCUAGCACCUCUAAUUAUGUAACUGAAGAUCGGAUGAUAGAACUACUUGGUGUCCAGAAGCAAGACAUAAUAAAAGAGGUGUUUGAUAUUUGUGGCAACUUGAGAACAGAUGUUUAUUACAAUCAAAGACAGUUGUUCGAACAGCACCAAAAAUGGCAGGAGGAUUAUAUGCAAUCUACUAUGCGUUCCUACAUGGAUAACUCAUUAUCAAGUUUUUUUAACACACAUUUGGAGAAAGAGCAACAAUUAUUCCAACAACAACAAAAAUGGCAAGAAGACCAUUAUCAGACCAUGCACUCUUAUGUAGAUACCAGUUUAGAUUCCAUGCGAUAUUAUGUGGAUGAACAAAAUAAGAAUACGCUGCAGAAAUUAUCUGAAUGGAAAUCAGACAUGAAAGUCAUUAUUAAUUGUACACAAGAAGACAUUCCUAUUGGUACAUUUCCAAUUCCUGAUGAUCGACCGAAGGAUACAUCAACGGCUCAACAAGUUGAAAGUUCUGAAACAUCACAACGAGAGAAGAAAAAAAG